CAGGUCAACACCUUAUUCCACCUGUUGCGCUUCUUCUUCUCGUUCCAAUCCUCCUACCACCAGCAGCACCACCACCACCGUCACUACUACUCUUCCUGUUCCUAGUUCUACCUCCUCCCUCCACAGCAGUCUGACAGCUAACAGUCAGUCCAGCUCCACCCACCACCAGUACUGUUGCCCUGCCCGGCUGCUCCUGCCCAAGCCGCCUUGCGCCCUCCCCCCAUCCAGGCACUCCGACCAGGCAAGAGAGGACGAAGACGAUGACAUCGCCCAUCAGUUCUGUUGCCCCGCCUCUGAGUGCAGUAGCCCGUCCUCUAGGUAACCAGCCGAUCACUUGAACCUCCUUCUCGUUUUUUACCCUUGACCUCCAAACAACCUUACGGAGAAAACGCUGAGGGCAACAACUGGACACAACUCGUUGGUCGGGGUUUGAAAAAUAAAUAAACUUUUAAAACGCACAAACCUGGCUGGAGACAAGGCAGGAGCUCAGCUACACUGAACUGUAGUCUGGGACUUGCGGACUUUCUCUGGUCUGGACUAUCUCUGGUCUGGACUAUCUCUGGUCUGGACUAUCUCUGGUCUGGACUAUCUCUGGUCUGGACUAGCUCUCGUCUGGACUAUCUCUGGACUGAAUCUUUAUCUGCCAGAUUUUACUGUACCUCCCUUCCCUGUCCUUACCAGCAUGUCACCCUUACAACCUUGCCUAACUCCGAAUGACACAAGGCAGUCCUGAUCGGUUGACCCCUCAGACUCUGACCGUUGAAGUGUAGCGUAGGCAGUCUGAUCUCUGACCUGGGCAGUGUGUUAGGGGAACUCACCUACGGCGCCGGGCCGGGUCAAUAGAUGACGAGACGAUGGAAGAAAGAAAAAAAAACGGAAAAUGAACCCUUCAGAUUCUUUCUGUAGCUCAUAUAUAUCUACUUCCUGUAUACUGCCCUCUAGUGUCUGUAUGCUGUCUCUUUUUACUCCUUUCAAUCUCACUCUUUCUUCUUUACCUCCUUGUGAACCUUCCUCUUCCCCUCUAUCGUUCAGUGAGAGAGGACAUGGUGGGUUUAACUCUAUUCUAACCAUACGGAAAAAUAAUGAGAAAUACAUCAAAUCUUCCUGAUUCAGUGCCAAGAAAAGCUCUUAGUUUUCAACUCCUUAAACUUUAAAAUAUUGUAAUGUUUUGUGAACAGAAGAGUUAUGCUUUAUGAGCAAAAUAUCUGAAGAAAAAUAUUUAUUGAAAUGAAAACAUAUUUUAGUUAGAUUUCCCUUUUCUCAUUAGAGAAUACCUAAAUGAUAUGGUCCUCUAUUAGUUUGCAACAUAGACACAGAAACAUUAUGCCCCAAACCCAGUAAGACUCGUAUGUCAACUCAUAUUGAGUGUGAAUAGUAAGCUAUUGCAAGGCCAAGGGAUGGGUGGGGCUAGAAAACGUUACACAUGGGGUUCAAAUCUAAUCAGAACAGGGUAACCGUGGUAACCAUGGUCUCACACUGAUCCUCAUCCAGACAUUCUGUAAAUGUCGAAAUAGGAACAACCAGCGGCAUUAUAGUUCGCUAGGCGCUACUUCCCCCUACCCCUUACACAGAUAUAGGACACUACCAUAGCAGUGGUUAGAUACAGGACACUAGCAUAGCGGUGGUUAGAUACAGGACACUAGCAUAGAGGUGGUUAGCUACAGGACACUACCAUAGAGGUGGUUAGAUACAGGACACUAGCAUAGCAGUGGUUAGAUAAGGACAAUACCAUAGAGGUGGUUAGAUACAGGACACUACCAUAGAGGUGGUUAGAUACAGGACACUACCAUAGAGGUGGUUAGAUACAGGACACUAGCAUAGCAGUGGUUAGAUAAGGACAAUACCAUAGAGGUGGUUAGAUACAGGACACUAGCAUAGCAGUGGUUAGAUAAGGACAAUACCAUAGAGGUGGUUAGAUACAGGACACUACCAUAGAGGUGGUUAGAUACAGGACACUACCAUAGAGGUGGUUAGAUACAGGACACUACCAUAGAGGUGGUUAGAUACAGGACACUACCAUAGAGGUGGUUAGAUACAGGACACUACCAUAGUUGUGGUUAGAUACAGGACACUACCAUAGAGGUGGUUAGAUACAGGACACUAGCAUAGAGGUGGUUAGAUACAGGACACUAGCAUAGAGGUGGUUAGAUACAGGACACUAGCAUAGAGGUGGUUAGAUACAGGACACUAGCAUAGAGGUGGUUAGCUACAGGACACUACCAUAGAGGUGGUUAGAUACAGGACACUAGCAUAGAUGUGGUUAGAUACAGGACACUAGCAUAGAGGUGGUUAGAUACAGGACACUAGCAUAGAGGUGGUUAGAUACAGGACA